UUAGAGUUUGAUCCUGGCUCAGGAUGAACGCUAGCGGCAGGCUUAACACAUGCAAGUCGAGGGGCAGCAUGGAGUAGCAAUACUCUGAUGGCGACCGGCGCAAGGGUGCGUUACGCGUGAGCAACUUGCCCGCAUCUGGGACAUAACCGGUGGAAACGCCGACUAAUUUCCCAUAACAAGGGAUCCUGCAUGGGAACCCUUUGAAAGAUCCGUCGGAUGCGGAUAGGCUCGCGUGACAUUAGCUAGUUGGUGAGGUAACGGCCCACCAAGGCUACGAUGUCUAGGGGAACUGAGAGGUUGGUCCCCCACACUGGAACUGAGACACGGUCCAGACUCCUACGGGAGGCAGCAGUGAGGAAUAUUGGUCAAUGGGCGCAAGCCUGAACCAGCCAUGCCGCGUGAAGGAUUAAGGCCCUAUGGGUCGUAAACUUCUUUUGUACGGGAGCAAUAAGCCCCACGUGUGGGGUGAUGAGAGUACCGUACGAAUAAGCAUCGGCUAACUCCGUGCCAGCAGCCGCGGUAAUACGGAGGAUGCGAGCGUUAUCCGGAUUUAUUGGGUUUAAAGGGUGCGCAGGCGGCACGUUAAGUCAGCGGUGAAAUGUCGGGGCUCAACCCGGGCACUGCCGUUGAAACUGGCGAGCUUGAGUACGGAUGAAGUUGGCGGAAUGUGAUGUGUAGCGGUGAAAUGCUUAGAUAUGUCACAGAACACCGAUUGCGAAGGCAGCUGACUAAUCCGCAACUGACGCUCAGGCACGAAAGCGUGGGGAUCGAACAGGAUUAGAUACCCUGGUAGUCCACGCAGUAAACGAUGAAGGCUAGCUAUUAGCGAUAGACAGUUAGUGGCUAAGGGAAACCGAUAAGCCUUCCACCUGGGGAGUACGCCGGCAACGGUGAAACUCAAAGGAAUUGACGGGGGCCCGCACAAGCGGAGGAACAUGUGGUUUAAUUCGAUGAUACGCGAGGAACCUUACCCGGGCUUGAAAGUUAGCGACGGACCUGGAAACAGGUCUUCCCGCAAGGGCGCGAAACUAGGUGCUGCAUGGUUGUCGUCAGCUCGUGCCGUGAGGUGUCGGCUCAAGUGCCAUAACGAGCGCAACCCUUGUCAUCAGUUGCCAUCAUUAAGUUGGGGACUCUGGUGAGACUGCCGCCGCAAGGUGAGAGGAAGGGGGGGAUGACGUCAAAUCAGCACGGCCCUUACGUCCGGGGCGACACACGUGUUACAAUGGUGGGUACAGAGGGCGGCCAUCCGGCGACGGAGCGCAAAUCUCGAAAACCCAUCUCAGUUCGGAUUGGAGUCUGCAACUCGACUCCAUGAAGUUGGAUUCGCUAGUAAUCGCGCAUCAGCCAUGGCGCGGUGAAUACGUUCCCGGGCCUUGCACACACCGCCCGUCA
rnacentral:rRNA from 1 species